UGGCUGAAUUGUGCUAGUCUCUCAUUUGCUGGGCUGUUGCUGGGCAAGAAGAGGAAGUCUUUCUUCUUCCUCUUGGGCUCUGAAAUCCUUGUAGGGUAUGAGAGCUCUCCCUUCUGGCCUCCUGACUCCAUUUGAAAUGGAUUUCUGCUUGUUGAUUUUCACAGUGGCUUAAACAACAGAAUAUUUUUCUCACCGUUAUGGAGGCUGGGAAGUCCAAGAUCAAGGUGCCAGCAAGCAUUGGCCUCCAGUGCUCCACGUCACCUCCGCUUGGCCCCCUCUGAUUGCAGCAGCAGCCUGCAGUGGACAGUUCCGUGUGAGCUCAGAUCCAUCUCAUGGUGACAGCAUCCCCUCAAAUGCGUGCUGUGCACCUUUCUAAUCCUUGCAUCAGGGCGUUCAUCAAUGCCUCAGCAGCCGUCUCACACCACACACGACCCUCAAAUAAUGGGAGCCAAAAGGCCGUGGUGAAAGAAUGAUGAUGUGAAAGAUGUGAAGCACUCAACACCCAGAAGCCCACUCAGAAGUAACCCUUUAACAGCUCAGGGGAAAAGUUCCUACUCAGUAGAAGGCGGUGGAAUCUCAGCGUUUUGCUCCUGCACACACACACACACAAAUCUAUUUAUAUACCAUCGCUGUUAACCUUAUUUCCCUCAGUUAAAGUCACUGCGUUGCUCAAUUCCACGAACGCUUUCCCUGGAGAACAGCCAGCAGAGCAGUGAAGUGGGAGCCAAGAAGACCUGGGUUCAAGGCCCAGCUCCAUCAGUGACUACCCUCAUAGGUGUAACUCCCUCACUUCAGCUUUCCCAUCUGUACAAUGGCGAUGAUGAUAAUAGAUUUGGGAGCACAAAAGCUUUCUGCAAGCAUACCUACAGUUGACCUUGUCAUGAGGGGUUGUGUGAAGCUGAUAGUAAGUGUUGGACUGGCUCAUCUACUUGUCUUUCUGUUUCAUCUGACCAGCCCUUAGGGUGGAGCUUGUCUACUCCUAAAAGGAAUUUGACAAGCUGCUUUCAAGAGUAGUAAAUUCUUGACAAUCAGUUGCAAUGAAUUCACUAGCUUGUGUAUAUUACGGCCAUUUUGCUUCUUCUGUCUGAACUCUUCCAGGUAAUCUUGUGUGGGUCCAGAGAAUGACAACAUAGGAAACAAAUCUCAUUUGCCCCCAGAUCUUUCUUGCGUGCCUCUGAGAUCUAUCUGUUUUAUUCACUCACAAAUGCAUCUUUUUUUCUUCCUAGGAGAGCGUAGGAACUAUUGUAUUCCACCUUCAGCAGCAACAGUUUCGUCAGUUAGACUGCGACUGCUGAAUCUUUAUUCCCGGGAUGUGGUGAGACAGGGCGACAGCUUCCAGAUUGCUGACUAGCUAUUUUGGUACUUGUAAACUUGUGGCACAACUGACUUGUAAAUCAAUGCUUGUAUAAAUGCAUCUGAAACCCAAACAUAAAAACCUAUCAUUUUAACUAUUGAGUCUUUUUCACAUUAAAAUUAUUAUUUUCUCUAAUUCUUCUUCAUCUUUUCUUUACAUUUUAUGUCAUUUAUGAAACAAGCAGGGUUAACUACCAAAGAGAAAAAGAAAUGUAGUUGGUAAACAGAGGACACACACCUCACUU